CCUACGGGGGGCAGCAGUGAGGAAUAUUGGUCAAUGGCCGAGAGGCUGAACCAGCCAAGUCGCGUGAGGGAAGACGGCCCUACGGGUUGUAAACCUCUUUUGUCGGGGAGCAAAGCGAACCACGUGUGGUUCAUUGAGAGUACCCGAAGAAAAAGCAUCGGCUAACACCGUGCCAGCAGCCGCGGUAAUACGGGGGAUGCGAGCGUUAUCCGGAUUGAUUGGGGUAAAGGGGUGCGCAGGCGGAGGUGCAAGUCAGCGGUCAAAUUGCGGGGCUCAACCCCGUACUGCCGUUGAAACCACAUCCCUUGAGUGCGCGAGAAGUAUGCGGAAUGCGUGGUGUAGCGGUGAAAUGCAUAGAUAUCACGCAGAACUCCGAUUGCGAAGGCAGCAUACCGGCGCGCAACUGACGCUCAUGCACGAAAGCGUGGGUAUCGAACAGGAUUAGAUACCCCAGUAGUC
rnacentral:rRNA from 1 species